GAUCUACCCAUGGCCAGUGUGAAGCAGCUGUAAGAGGCUGUGGAGGCGCGAACCCACUUAGGUUGAAAACUGAGGGGAUGAGUUGUGGGUAGGGGUGAAAGGCCAAUCAAACUCCGUGAUAGCUGGUUCUCCCCGAAAUGCAUUUAGGUGCAGCGUCGUGUGUUUCUUGCCGGAGGUAGAGCUACUGGUUGGUUGAGCGGGACUAUCAUCUUAGCGACGUCAGCCAAACUCCGAAUGCCGGUAAGUCAGAGCGCGGCAGUGAGACUGCGGGGGAUAAGCUUCGUUAGUCGAGAGGGAAACAGCCCAGAUCGCCGGUUAAGGCCCCUAAGAGUGUGCUAAGUGGAAAAGGAUGUGGGAUCGCGAAGACAGCCAGGAGGUUGGCUUAGAAGCAGCCAUCCUUGAAAGAGUGCGUAAUAGCUCACUGGUCGAGUGGUUCUGCGCCGACAAUGUAGUGGGGCUCAAGUACACCGCCGAAACCGCGGAACUCAAUCUUUUGGUUGGGUUGGUAGGGGAGCGUCGUGUGAUCGUUGAAGCUGCCGGGUGACCGUGUGGUGGAGGUUAUGCGAGUGAGAAUGCAGGCAUGAGUAGCGAAUGAUGCGUGUGAAACGUAUCCGCCGGAUGACUAAGGGUUCCUGGGUCAAGCUAAUCUUCCCAGGGUGAGUCGGGUCCUAAGGCGAGGCCGACAGGCGUAGUCGAUGGUUAACGGGUUGAUAUUCCCGUACCCGUGUGUGUGCGACCAAUGGUGAAUCAGUGAUACUAACCGCCCUGAAGGAUGCCACUCACACUUUGUGUGUGUGGUGUGUGGAUGCGUGGGACCUGAUCUGGUAGUAGCCAAGCGAUGGGGUGACGCAGGAAGGUAGCCAAGCCACUUAUUGGAUUGUGGUGUAAGCGUGUGGCCCGCAGGAAUUGGUAAAUCCGUCCUGCAUUUAAGGGUGAGGCGUGAUGCGUACCCGUUGUGGGGAUGUUGGUGAUCCUAUGCUGUCGAGAAAAGCCUCUAGUGAGUGCAUGUACGGCCCGUACCGUAAACCGACACAGGUGGUCAGGUAGAGAAUACUAAGGCGUUCGGGUGAACUGUGGUUAAGGAAUUCGGCAAAAUGGCCCCGUAACUUCGGGAGAAGGGGUGCCACUGCUGGUGAACGACGUGUUGAGCUGGUGGUGGUCGCAGAGAAUAGAGGGAAGCGACUGUUUACUAAAAACACAGGUCCGUGCGAAGACGGUAAGUCGAUGUAUACGGACUGACGCCUGCCCGGUGCUGGAAGGUUAAGAGGACCUGUUAGAUCCUUGUGGUCGAAGCGGAGAAUUUAAGCCCCAGUAAACGGCGGUGGUAACUAUAACCAUCCUAAGGUAGCGAAAUUCCUUGUCGGGUAAGUUCCGACCUGCACGAAUGGCGUAACGACUUCCCUGCUGUCUCAACCACAGGCCCGGUGAAAUUGCAGUACGAGUAAAGAUGCUCGUUACGCGCGGCAGGACGAAAAGACCCCGGGACCUUCACUAUAGCUUGGUAUUGGUGUUCGGUUCGGUUUGUGUAGGAUAGGUGGGAGACUGUGAAGUGGCCACGCUAGUGGUUGUGGAGUCGUUGGUGAAAUACCACUCUGAUCGGAUUGGGCAUCUGAACCUCGGCCCGUGAUCCGGGUUAGGGACAGUGCCUGGUGGGUAGUUUAACUGGGGCGGUUGCCUCCCAAAGUGUAACGGAGGCGCCCAAAGGUUCCCUCAGCCUGGUUGGCAAUCAGGUGUUGAGUGUAAGUGCACAAGGGAGCUUGACUGUGAGACUGACAGGUCGAGCAGGUACGAAAGUAGGGACUAGUGAUCCGGCACCGGCUUGUGGAAGCGGUGUCGCUCAACGGAUAAAAGGUACCCCGGGGAUAACAGGCUGAUCUUCCCCAAGAGUCCAUAUCGACGGGAUGGUUUGGCACCUCGAUGUCGGCUCGUCGCAUCCUGGGGCUGGAGUAGGUCCCAAGGGUUGGGCUGUUCGCCCAUUAAAGCGGCACGCGAGCUGGGUUUAGAACGUCGUGAGACAGUUCGGUCUCUAUCCGCCGUGCGCGUUGAAACUUGAAGAAGGCUGUCCCUAGUACGAGAGGACCGGGACGGACAUACCUCUGGUGGGCCAGUUGUCACGCCCGUGGCAUGGCUGGUUGGCUACGUAUGGGAGGGAUAACCGCUGAAAGCAUCUAAGCGGGAAGCCUGUUCUGAGAUGAGGUUUCUUUUGAGGUUCCCUAUAGAUUAUGGGGUUGAUAGGCCGGAUCUGGAAGUCAUGUGAGUGAUGGAGGUGACCGGUACUAAUUAGCCGAUGUUCAACAC
rnacentral:rRNA from 1 species